rnacentral:sRNA from 1 species
AAUUGCUUAAACCAGUGAGGUGGAGGCUGCAGUGAGGUGAGAUCUCGCCACUGCACUCCAGCUUGGGUUACAGAGCAGUACUCCAUCUCAAAAAAAAAAAGUUAUUAAAGAAACAUCUUUUCCUAUAUGCAUUCAUAAUUUUUCCUGAAUACCACUUUAUUUUUGACGGAAGUCAGUAUGUGUUCUGUGCAAAUGUAGUUAGAGUAUAAUUACAUGAUUUGUUGCAUCCAGAUUCUACAGAUUUGUUACUUCAUUGUUGAUGCAUAAGUUAAUUUUCUUUUCCAGUUAAUGAUUUUCGCAGUGUUUCCUUGAACUUGCUACAGACACAUUUUAAGAAAGCCCAAGAAAAUCAGCAGAUUGGGAGGGUAGAAUUUCUUCCAGUCAACUGGCACAGUCCUUUGCAUUCUACUGGUGUGGAUGUAGAUCUGCAGCGAAUAACCCUGCCCAGCAUUAACCGCCUCAGGCACUUCACCAAUGACACAAUUCUGGAUGUCUUCUUCUACAAUAGUCCCACCUACUGUCAGACUAUUGUGGACACAGUUGCUUCUGAAAUGAACCGAAUAUACACACUUUUUCUACAGAGGAACCCUGAUUUCAAAGGGGGUGUAUCCAUUGCUGGUCAUAGUUUAGGUUCGCUUAUAUUGUUUGAUAUCCUAACAAAUCAGAAAGAUUCUUUGGGGGAUAUUGACAGUGAAAAGGAUUCGCUAAAUAUUGUAAUGGAUCAAGGAGAUACACCUACACUAGAGGAAGAUUUGAAGAAACUUCAGCUCUCUGAAUUCUUUGAUAUCUUUGAGAAGGAGAAAGUAGAUAAGGAAGCUCUGGCUUUAUGUACAGACCGAGAUCUUCAGGAAAUAGGAAUUC